UCCAGUUCCGAUUCUUGUUAUUUUGUUCCGAACCGGGUGAAUAACCCAUGAUGUUUGGUAUGGGAAUAUAUCGCAGUCCUCAGAUGUGCGGGCCUUCGAGUCGGAUUGCUUGAGAAAGCAGUCCAAAGUGGGUGGUAAACUCCAUCCAAGGCUAAAUACUGGCAUGAGUCCGAUAGUAGACAAGUACCGUGAGGGAAAGUUGAAAAGUACUCUGAAGAGAGAGUAAAUAGUACGUGAAGCCGAUUGCAGGGAAGCUGGUGGAGUCAAGCUUCAUGCUUGAGGAAUUUUUAUCAUGAGUUAUUGUGGUUUUGCAUGUGAUCAGUCAGCUUGGUAUAAGUUGGGCACAUUCGUGUGUAUCAAGUCAUUCUGGGUAGUGUGUUUGAAGCUGAUCAUAAUGCGUUGCUCAUGGUAAUCUAUUCUUCGUGGCAUAAAUCACAGUCGAUACUGUUGCGCCCGAUGAUUGUCUAACUGUGCUUCGGUAGGCCUCGUGUUUACCGGGUGCAGAAUGGCAGGUACGGCCAUUAGUCUCCGGAUUAAUGUGUCUUCGAAGAUGAAGCCGACUUUCAUUUGUGGUGUCUUCAGUAUCGUGAUUGCUUGGUGUCUCGUCUUCGGACCUGGCAUUGGUUAGAACUGUGAUUCUGAGGUAGA
rnacentral:rRNA from 1 species